UGGGGAAUAUUGGACAAUGGACCAAGAGUCUGAUCCAGCAAUUCUGUGUGCACGAUGAAGUUUUUCGGAAUGUAAAGUGCUUUCAGUUGGGAAGAAAAAAAUGACGGUACCAACAGAAGAAGUGACGGCUAAAUACGUGCCAGCAGCCGCGGUAAUACGUAUGUCACGAGCGUUAUCCGGAUUUAUUGGGCGUAAAGCGCGUCUAGGUGGUUAUGUAAGUCUGAUGUGAAAAUGCAGGGCUCAACUCUGUAUUGCGUUGGAAACUGUAUAACUAGAGUACUGGAGAGGUAAGCGGAACUACAAGUGUAGAGGUGAAAUUCGUAGAUAUUUGUAGGAAUGCCGAUGGGGAAGCCAGCUUACUGGACAGAUACUGACGCUGAAGCGCGAAAGCGUGGGUAGCAAACAGGAUUAGAUACCCUGGUAGUCCACGCCGUAACGAUGAUUACUAGGUGUUGGGGGUCGAACCUCAGCGCCCAAGCAAACGCGAUAAGUAAUCCGCCUGGGGAGUACGUACGCAAGUAUG
rnacentral:rRNA from 1 species